AACUACAGAAAAAGUUGAGUAGGUAGGCUAGCUACUUCAUUCUACAAGUGGAAUUGAGAACUCGACACUCCUCGAUCGCGAAAAUCAUAUACUAGAUUCCGAUUUCCUGAAAAACAGUGAAAGUAGCCUAAUAAUGCGUUGUUACAGUUUUGUUUCAAUUUUCGCGUUCAUUUUGGCAUUUUAUGUUUCAACAGGAAACGCUAUACAAUGUUACGAGUGUCAAUAUAAUGGGGAUGAGCAUCUUUCUCACGUCCAACGAGAUCCUAACUGUGUAAAUGUGAAUUUAAAAACCCGUAAAGAAACGUUUUCCAGACCUUGGUAUGAUCGCACUGGCAAUGAGGGAUGUGUAUACCUAAAAAGAAAGACCGCAGGUGGUUCAUUAAGUGUACAACGAUAUGGGAUGUCAAUACACCCCGGUACAAAGGACGCUAUUUGUACAGCCAUUAUACGUCAGGGAGGAAGUUGCGAGAUUUGUUUCGCAAAACUCUGCAAUUCUCAGUCAGCUGGCCCGGAAGACUCCUCACCUUGAACCACAUGGUCACCUACAACCAUGGCAUCACCUAUAACCACAUUGUCACCUCCAAACAUGUCAUUAGUACAGAAUACAGAUGGAACCGAUUCUAAUCUUACUUAUACUCUAACUGGAGUAUUGAAAAUUAAUUGUUAAGGAGAGGAAACAGUUUAAUAAUAUUUUUAAUUAAUUAGGUAAUUAGUUUUACAAAUAAAAAUUGAUAAAAUUAUAACAACUUUGGAAGUAGGGGUAGUACCCUCAAGUUACCCCUGGGAAGCGCUUCAGCAUAUAUAGGGUAAAUGUGCCUAAGUUUGCGCGCUUCCUAAGAUUGCGCAGUAACGAUUUCUCAGAACCAGUGAGAGUUACAACAUUUGAUACCGCCUUUACUUGAAAGAAGAAUCAAAAUGACCAUACUUCACGAUUUUUGGUGAUGGUAGCACCAAGUGUUGCAAAUUGACAAGCGAAAAACUUUUUUUUCAAAUUUUUUUAUAAUUUUUCCAAUAAAAAUGACACGCGACAAUUUUUAUGGAAAUGGCUGUAGAAAUCUAAAUAAGCUAUUUUUAGAUUCGUCAUUGUCUGGGGAUUAUAACAAGCACAUAUUUCAAGUAUUUUCUGCUUUAAUUAAGUUUCAAUUUUUCAAUUUUUUAAAAAAGCACCCCUGUGCCUAAGAUUGCGAUUUUCAGUUUUUGUUACUUUUCUAGACUAAUAAUGAUACUUUUCGAAAUUUUCAUUAAGAAUUCAAUUUAUUUGAAUGAAAUGACACCUUAUACACGUAUAUCGAGUUUACUCCUUGUCAAAAGCUAUGGAGAAAUGGGUGUAAUGCUGUAAAUACCAGAUAUGAGCGCAUUUCCAGUGUGAUUCACUCAGAAGUUUCAAAUGCACGUUCACGUGAGACAUUUUGUUUGCUUUCAUCAUUAAUUAAACAAUAUUGGCGAAUUUCUAUGUUUUUCACUGGUGCACAAUCUUGGGAAGGUGAAUGCGCAAUCUUAGGAAGGCAUAUGCCUAAGUUUGCGCAUUUGACUUUUUUUGGUUUUUGGUCAAAAUAUCAAAAACUAAAUCGAUUAAAAAUUUCAUUUCUGGGGCAAAUCAUAGCCAAAUGUUUGAAGAACCUUCUGUACAAAUUUCAAUAUUCUAGCUCCUUUUCAUAAAAAGUAGUGACUGUUUGAAAAUUAGGUGCGCAAACUUAGGCACAUUUACCCUAAGCCUCUAAGAGCUAGAGCAGUUUUUCUGACUUACCCCGAAUUCGGACUUCCCCCGGUGCACCUUACAUUAUUGUAAUCGGAGUGCAACAAAAAAACAUUCAAAAAAAUAUAUUGGGUUGCCCUAAUAAUAAGUUGCCAGGUUUUCCUGUGGAUGUUUUAAGUUACCUACUUGUAGAGUUAGAAGAUAGGUAGUGUGUACCUAUCUCACACGCAGAUUAAUUAUGUACCAGUACCACAUAAAAUCCAAAAUUGCGUAAUUACCAAAAAUGGUAAUUUCUGGUUGAUAAUUUUAAGAUUUUUUGAAAGUAUAGAAAUAUAAACUAAUCUAUACUAACUUUGCCUGUUCUGGAUAUCUUUUUAAGCACUGGGUUGUGAUCAAUUAAUAGCUUGUAAAUUAUAAGAUGAUAUCUCUCGCGAUCUGUUAACUAGCUCAUGGAAUCUUCAGGGUCGUGAUAGAUCGCGGACAGAUUUAAGAUAUUUUUUGGUACUACAUAAAUUAAUUAUAAGAUGUGGAGUUGGGCUCGUUUUUAUAAGAUGGAUUUCUAUAAGAUGUCUUAAGUCGGCAAAAAUCAGUAUGAACUGAUUAAAAAGGGAGUCGAAAAUCAAAAUUUUCGACUAUUAUACUUUCGAUUCAUUACCAAUAUAAGAUGAAAAUACUUCGGCGAUUUAAUGUUCAAAAUAAUCAUUUUGAACAUUUUGUCAUAUGUACACGUAUUAUACACUCGAACUAGAUACGAUUGGAAUAAAUCAAGAACACACAAAUAACUUCUUAACACACGAUUUAAUUGGCUUGAAACGCAUCGCAAUACCAAUUCUUGCUCGCCAUUUAAGGGAGGAAAUUGAAGGUUAUUUGACUAUUUCGUGGAAAAAUAGAUUUUGGAAAACUUAGGUCAAUAACACGGAAAACUUAUCAGAAUAAGCCUAGGACUGGUUUGGACUCGAGGUACUUAGGUCAAUAACACGAGGAUACUUAUCAGAAUAAAACUUAGGUCAAUAAACUUAGGAAAAUAACACGAGGAUGCUUAGGUCAAUAUGGAAAUAAUAAAGGAAAGGAAAAUAAUAAGACAAACUCCACAAUAAUAUUACGAAGGCGAUCCAAGAACGUAAAGAAAACACCAACGACCCCCUAGGGAACACUCACGUUAGGGAUCCGUAAUCUGAUUAUUACGAACCUGAAUUGGGCUGGUCCAUUACAAGCUGAGUUAUUAUAAGAUGAGAGGUCGAAAUGGUCGAAUGUAUCAACUUGAUCUGGAAAUGUAAAUAUUUCGGCAUCGAAAAGGACCGGAACGGAACUGCCUGCUAAGUUGGGAGCGAGUCCCAAGCUUAACUCUGGAAACAUCAGCAUAUAAAACAACACAGGAACCAAUUUUACCGAAUGCUACUAACCCAUAAUGAGGACGGUUCCACUCCCAGGGGUCAAUAACAAUUCGGGAGUCAUUACUAUGCUCAACCGAACUGAGAGUAGAGAACUGCAACCAAUACUGAAUUCUAGCGAGUUACCACACUGACUGGCUGACUAGGUGUUUCUUGGAUCGCUUGUUGAUGAAAAGUGAAUUUUUAGGAAAAAGUAGGGAUAAGUUGUGCGCAUGCCAAAUGUUGUGAUUGGCUAAAGCGUUACCCCCAGAAAUGUUAGGAGCGAAUAGGAAGUCGAUUAAGUGAUGUAAUACUUGUAUACGAUUGCAUCAUACACGGAAAUCUUAUGUAAUAUUCCCGAAGAUUGCAUCAUCUUCUAUUAGGUAGGUAAAUCGACUUGAUAGAUAGGCAGGGAGGUCGACAGGGUCAAUGUACAUAAAGUGGUCAUUAAAAUCGCGUAAUAUUUUCGUCGUCUCAGUGAUCCGCAAAAUAUUUCUUCGUGUAUGGAGAGAGAGAGAGAGAGAGAAUAAAUAAUAGUAUUUUUUCUCCCAAGUAUAAGUUGACAGAUUUUGACAUAAUAUUUUCUCUCAGGUAGUCGGCAUAAAAUUCAUUUAAUUCCAUUGUUUUGAGGUCGAUAUUUUCUCCCAGUGUUGUGGGAGAAAAGUCAAUAUUUUUCUCCCAGUAUAAGAUGAAAUAUUAUAUUUUCUCCCAGUAUAGGCAGUUGAUUUCUAACAGCUUUCUGUCACCAUAGGUGGGAGAAAUUAAUUAAUUUUCUCCCAGUAUAGGCGACUCAAAAGUGAUAAUUUUCUCCCAUUACAAUUAUAAGUACUUAAUUGUAAUUAAUUGGUAUAAUAUGCUCAAUUACUUGUUUUACACUAACAUCUGUAAAUAUGUAAAAACCAUAAGUAAUUGGUUCGAGAAGGCUUUCUUUAUUUAUAUGUAGUAUAGUAACUUCUCACUGUGUUCAUUGAGGUAGAUAGGAUUGCCUAUACUAGAGCUAGCCAGGUAUAUUUGGUAAAUGUUCCUUCCCAAAUGAAUAUUUCUCAGAAAACCACCUUAGGAGAAAAUUAUCAUAAUCCAUUCUUCUAGCAGUCCUUUCCAACCCCACUGUUACACAAUUUCAAAAAAAUUAAAAAAAUUCACAAUAUGUUUUUGGUUAUACAUAAGUAAGUUUUUUUAAUAAAAAAAAUUCCUAUAUAUUUUACAACAUAGGUAGUUUUGUUUUUUCUGCACAUUUCUAGGGUGUUUUACCUCGUACACACACCUACCCUACCUCUUACUUCACCACAACAUAUUUACCUACACCAGAAUUACCCAAACCGAAUUCACUAUCAAAGUCGAGCAUUUUCCGCCAAGUAAGUGUUAGUCAGGAAAUUCACUGGGAAACACGAUGGCUCAUAACGUGUAUAUUCGCUCGUGCACAUAUUAGAUCUGUAUCUUUACGAGCUAUAGGCGAGGAAUUUUCCCAAAUUGAUGACAGUAUUUUGCGGGCGUGGCUGAAUCCAUGAGAAAGUAAGCAACACCAAUUACACAUGCCAUGUCACAUAUGGAUAUGGAGGUAAUACGUAGAUAUACCUAGGUUGAAGUAUAGGUAGGUAUAGCGAAGUAAAAAUACGAAAAUUUCAAUUUCGUACACUUGCAACGCACCGAAUCGCAUUCACACCGGUUUUGGCUAUACAGCGCGACAUUUACGAGGAAAAAUAUUUAUUAGUUUUCGUGAAAAUUCAAAUAGGUACCGUAAGUGCAUAUUAUUAGUACCACGAAGCCAUCAAAAAUUAACGAUACGCGAGUUAGCCGCCAGUUUUUCCAUCGCUAAGAUACCUACUCGAUAAAAACAAAAAAGUGAUUUGCAAUUUUAAUCUCGUAUCGCGCGUGUAAAAUGUACCCGUACACUCGAGGGAUGCCUAGUCUUUGACCUGUUGGCUGUUGUUUUCAUUCUCUGUGCCUCAGAAAUCAACAAACUCGGAGACGUUUACUUUCAGUUGAUGAUAAAUAAUUUCCCGUCUGUAAUAAUCUACGUAUAAAAAGUUAUAAAACAUACUAUUAGAAAGAACGAAUGCGUACAUGGACACUCAACUCAAACAUAUUAGUGCCUUAUUACCUGCCUCCUAACAAGUAACAGCGUCACAAAUUAAAAAAAAAAAAAAAAAAAAAAACGAUCUUCGUGACACGUUUUUGGGAUAAAUAAUUUUAAACCAAUCGCAGUCUUAUAUCUCCUUUCCUUCCUUUCUACCCAUUAUCUCUAACACUGCACAAUUUGUAUCAAUUUACAUACAAUUUAUACAUACCAAUAUCAUAAAAAUGUAUACCUACUA